rnacentral:rRNA from 1 species
UACGUAGGUGGCAAGCGUUGUCCGGAUUUACUGGGCGUAAAGAGCGCGCAGGCGGUCGUUCAAGUCGCGUGUGAAAGCCCCCGGCUCAACUGUGAGCGGUCCCCGGAUACUGCCAGUCUCGAGGUGUCUAGAGGAGAGCGGAAUUCCCGGUGUAGUGGUGGAAUGCGUAGAUAUCGGGAAGAACACCAGUGGCGAAAGCGGCUCUCUGGGGACCACCUGACGCUGAGGCGCGAAAGCGUGGGGAGCGAACCGG